rnacentral:rRNA from 1 species
UACGGAGGGGGCGAGCGUUAUUCGGAAUUAUUGGGCGUAAAGGGCGCGUAGGCGGCCUGGCAAGUUGAAGGUGAAAUCCCUCGGCUUAACCGAGGAACUGCCCUCCAAACUGCUUGGCUUGAGUCCGGGAGAGGUGAGUGGAAUUCCCAGUGUAGCGGUGAAAUGCGUAGAUAUUGGGAGGAACACCAGUGGCGAAGGCGGCUCACUGGACCGGAACUGACGCUGAGGCGCGAAAGCGUGGGGAGCAAACGGG